rnacentral:rRNA from 1 species
GACGAACGCUGGCGGCGUGCCUAAUACAUGCAAGUAGAACGCUGAAGAGCGGAGCUUGCUCUUCUUGGAUGAUUUUCGCACGGGUGAGUAACGCGUAGGUAACCUGCCUUGUAGCGGGGGAUAACUAUUUGAAACGAUAGCUAAUACCGCAUAACAAUGGUUGACACAUGUCAUUUAUUUGAAAGGGGCAAUUGCUCCACUACAAGCUGUACCUGCGUUGUAUUAGCUAGUAGGUUGGGUAAUGGCUCACCUAGGCGACGAUACAUAGCCGACCUGAGAGGGUGAUCGGCCACACUGGGACUGAGACACGGCCCAGACUCCUACGGGAGGCAGCAGUAGGGAAUCUUCGGCAAUGGGGGAAAGCCUGACCGAGCAACGCCGCGUGAGUGAAGAAGGUUUUCGGAUCGUAAAGCUCUGUUGUAAGUGAAGAAAGGGUGUGAGGGUGGAAAGGACAAGGAGUGACGGUAGCUGAACAGAAAGGGACGGCUAACUACGUG